UGCAGCUUGGUAUAGUGGUUUGAAUAUUGGACUAUGACUUUGGAGACCAGGGUUCAAAUCCCUGCUCUGCCA